AUUGAACGCUGGCGGCAGUCCUAACACAUGCAAGUCGAACGAUUCGCGGACGGGAGAGUAAUGUCUGGGAAACGGCCUGAUGGAGGAGGUUAACUACUGGAAACGGUAGCUGAUACCGCAUACCAUCGGAUGUUCCCAGUUGGGAUGAGCUAGUAUGUGGGGUAAAGGCUCACCUAGGCGACGAUCCCUAGCUGGUCUGAGAGGAUGACCAGCCAAACUGGAAAGGAGACACGGUCCAGACGCCUACGGGAGGCAGCAGUGGAGAAUAUUGCACAAUGGGGGCAAGCCUGAUGCAGCCAUGCCGCGUGUAUGAAGAAGGCCUUCGGGUUGUAAAGUACUUUCAGCGGGGAGGCGUUACCAGCAGAAGAAGCACCGGCUAACUCCGUGCCAGCAGCCGCGGUAAUUC
rnacentral:rRNA from 1 species